AUAAGAACGUAGUGAAAUGCGAUACGUAAUGUGAAUUGCAGAAUUCAGUGAAUCAUCGAGUCUUUGAACGCACAUUGCGCCCCCUGGUAUUCCGGGGGGCAUGCCUGUCCGAGCGUCAUUGCUGCCCUCAAGCACGGCUUGUGUGUUGGGCCUCCGUCCUCCUCCCGGGGGACGGGCCCGAAAGGCAGCGGCGGCACCGCGUCCGGUCCUCGAGCGUAUGGGGCUUCGUCACCCGCUCUUGUAGGCCCGGCCGGCGCUUGCCGACACAUCAAUCUUUUUUCCAGGUUGACCUCGGAUCAGGUAGGGAUACCCGCUGAACUUAAGCAUAUCAAUAAGCGGAGGA
rnacentral:misc_RNA from 1 species